GAUGAAGAACGCAGCGAAAUGCGAUAAGUAAUGUGAAUUGCAGAAUUCAGUGAAUCAUCGAAUCUUUGAACGCACCUUGCACCCUUUGGCAUUCUGAAGGGUAUGCUCGUUUGGGUGUCAUUGUACUCUCACACUCCCGAUCUUUGCAUUGGGAGCAGUGGACUUGGGUUUGCUGCUUCACCGUCGCUUACCUCAAAUAGGUUAGUGCAACUCUUGGUUGGACAUAGUACGGCGUGAUAAGUGUUCUUCGCCGGUGCCUCGCAAAGAGGGUGGCCGAUCGGGAUGUUGUGCUCCAAACCGUCUUCGGACAAUCUCUGACGACUUGACCUCAAAUCGAGUAAGACUACCCGCUGAACUUAAGCAUAUCAAUAAGCGGAGGA
rnacentral:misc_RNA from 1 species